UACCUAUUUUGGAUAUUUCAGUUUUAGAGGUGCUUCUUCAGACAAAAAACUCGAAAUUCCAACUUAAAAGUUGACAAAUGCACUGAGACAAGGAAUCCUGACGUACAGCUACAGUGUGGGAAUGCUUGCCAGGAGAGCCAUUCAUCUUGGAGGAGAGUCCCGUGAAGGUACCAUGUCUCCUUUAGUCUGACUCCCUUCGUUUCCUGAAGCAACAUCACAUGGCAGAUCUAUGAAGUCAUGAGGUGCACAUACUCUGCCAUCAGUCGUGUGGAACCCUGCAUGAUUGGCACAGCCUACUCUCCAAUGGCUCCUUUCUGGAGGUUUAACUUCUGAAAUAGUUCUCCACUGCCUGCCUUCAGUGAAAAGACAAGACUUGAUGUGUGAAUGACUCCACACUUGGUGUUGAAAGCACUUAUGUUUAUCUGAUGUUUAUGAGUCGGGUCUUCAGAGCUGGCAAGAAUGGCCUGUGUUGGAGAUCUGCAGAAAUAACAGCCACACAUCGUUGGAUUGCCUUUACUUUCUUCUACUCCAGAUAGCAGACUGGUGAUUCAAAGUAUGUCACAGGGAUAUAGAGCAUGUGAUCAUGGAAGUGGACAUUGUUUUUGGAGACUUUCUUGGUUCCUUGCCAGAUUGAAGGACCCAGUCAGGACAGGAGAUCCCAAAACAAUUUGACUACCUUCAUCCUCGAAAGAAGAGAUGAAAAUCUGACAGGCUGUCCAAUGUCAACUGGACCUGACCAUCAGGUUCACGGUUUGCUCUGAUACCACACUCACAUAACCAACAGCCUCUGCCCUUCAUUUCUUGCUCUUGCUGUACUGUCUAUUUUCCUUGAAUGUUUAGUGCAACAAGGAUAGCGACGCCUUCUCAUUGAGAAUCCCAUGUUCUCAAGUGUGUGUGAUGUAAGGCUAGGGGGCAGACCUGCUGUCUAACACUUGGAUAUUAACAGAAGAACUUUUCAAACUGCUUAGCAUAAUAUUAUAUAUCAUUAUAUAACUCACACACUUAUCUUUCCCAUGUGACACCCCUUUAAGCAAUUAGUGAUAGAAUAUUUCAAUACAUUAAAAAGCCAAGUGGCCAUAAAAGUGUCCUAGGACAAAUGAGUGAGGUGCAGGUAGAAGAAUUACUAAGCUUUGAUAGAAUGGAAGGUAAUGGAGAAAAUGCAAGGUCAUGCAUAUGUGAAGGAUUACUCUAUCUCAAAUGAUUGCAAUUAUGAUGGGAGGCUCUAAUAUGAGAAACAAAGACCAUUCAGAGGGGAGCUCGUUUUGACUACUGGUCUUUAAAGACCACCUGGUUGUGGCAGUUAAAUGCCUGGGUAGCAGUUUCAAGUCUUGGAUCUACUCCGUACUCUCUUUAAGACCUUGGAAGAUUUACCUAGCCCCUUCAUGCUUCAGUAUCCUUAAUUUAAAGGUAAUAAUUGCGCAUGCUUUAAAGGGUCAUCCAUGACAAGGAUACAGUGAAGUGAUUUGUGUUGAGCUUCAUAAUUGCUGGAGUUUAAUUGCUAUGAUGCUAAGAAUCUUGGUGUGGGAGGGGCCCUUUGGCUAGGGCCAGGAGCAUGAUAUAUAGUUGAGAUACA
rnacentral:lncRNA from 1 species